AACUACGGCCACACCACCCUGAACAAGCCAGAUCCCGUCUGAUCUUGAUAGCUAAGCAAGGGAGGGCCUGGUUAGUACUUGGUUGGGUGAUCACUCUGGAGGACCAGUACCUGUAGGCG
rnacentral:rRNA from 1 species